rnacentral:pre_miRNA from 1 species
UCAUUCGGAUUCGCCAUCAUACGUCCAACCGUGCAUUUGAUAUGCAUAUAUAUGCAUCACGAGCCACGGUAGGGCUGUAUGAUGGCGAUACCGAUUGG